rnacentral:rRNA from 1 species
UUCGCAAUGCCCGAAAGGGUGACGAAGCGACGCCGCGUGUGGGAAGAAGGCCUUCGGGUUGUAAACCACUGUCGGGAGUUAAGAAAUGUAAGGGUGUUAAUAGUAUCCUUACUUGACUAAGGCUCCGGAGGAAGCCACGGCUAACUCUGUGCCAGCAGCCGCGGUAAUACAGAGGCGGCAAGCGUUGUUCGGAAUUAUUGGGCGUAAAGAGCACGUAGGCGGCUAUAUAAGUCGGUUGUGAAAGCCUUCCGCUUAACGGAAGAACAGCGACCGAUACUGCAUAGCUAGAGUGCGGGAGGGGAGAGUGGAACUUCUGGUGGAGCGGUGAAAUGCGUAGAUAUCAGAAGGAACGCCGGCGGCGAAAGCGGCUCUCUGGACCGUAACUGACGCUGAGUGUGCGAAAGCUAGGGGAGCAAACGGGAUUAGAUACCCCGGUAGUCCUAGCCGUAAACGAUGGGCACUAAGUAGAGGGGUUUU